rnacentral:misc_RNA from 1 species
UUUCCGUAGGUGAACCUGCGGAAGGAUCAUUACCACACCAAAACAAAACAAACUUUGUAGUGGCUUCGGCUGCGACUAUCUACCUGUGGACUUUCAACCAACCUGCAUACGCAUGUUUGCAGCUUUCCGAGUCGGUUUCACAUCGGCUCGGGAAAUUCACUCUUUUAAAGCCGCUUGGCUUUAUUCUUCCAAUUCAACCUAAACACAAAACUGAUCAAGUUGUUGUUCUUCUUCUCGAAGAAUGACAAGAGCAUGAAUAAUGCUUAUACACUUUCAGCAACGGAUGUCUUGGCUCCC